AAAUCUCAAGCAGACUCUGCACCAAGCUUGGAGCCCCAUGCAGGGCCUGAUCUCACAACGCUGAGAUCACAAGUCCAGUUGAAACCAAGAAUCUGAUGCUCAAGUGACUGUGCCACUCAGGCACCUUCAUAGUGCAUUUUCAACGAACAAUUUGUAUUCAUCAGUAUUAACAAAUCAGAUCCACAGAUAGAGAGGAAUUUUGCUUCAAAUGGAUCAUACUGAGACUUAUGACCCAUAUAAAAUUUAAAGUUAAAACUGAAAUAGUUAUCUACAUUGAUCUCUGGAGGGCAUCUCCCCCCUAUUUAAGGUUAAUUUGGAGUCCAGAACUAUUGUAAAUUGGGACAGGAAAAAAGAAGCAUUUUCUUGAUACAAUGAGAAGUUUGCAGUCAGCAACCUGGAACAGGGCUCUGCGAGAAAAAGCCAACAUUGCCAUGAAUGGACUUAAUAGUGGGAGCUUAGAAAGAAGAGAGGAGAGCUACAAAGAAAACUUUAGUCUUCUUAGAAAGCACCAAGUGGUCUGUAACAGAAUGUUGGUAGAAAAAUGGAUGGUAAAGUCCACUCUGACAAGAAUGAGAAGCAUGUUAUUGGAAA